CGCGGGAUGGAGCAGCCCGGUAGCUCGUCAGGCUCAUAAGCUGAAGGUUGCAGGUUCCAAUCCUACUCCCGCAACCA
rnacentral:tRNA from 1 species